UGGUAGUAAAGCAGGGGAUCGCAAGACCUUGCGCUUUUGGAGCGGCCGAUGUCUGAUUAGCUAGUUGGUGGGGUAAUGGCUUACCAAGGCUUCGAUCAGUAGCUGGUCUGAGAGGACGACCAGCCACACUGGGACUGAGACACGGCCCAGACUCCUACGGGAGGCAGCAGUGGGGAAUUUUGGACAAUGGGGGAAACCCUGAUCCAGCCAUGCCGCGUGAGUGAAGAAGGCCUUCGGGUUGUAAAGCUCUUUCAGCCGGAACGAAAUGGUCACGGUUAAUACCCGUGACAAAUGACGGUACCGGAAGAAGAAGCACCGGCUAACUACGUGCCAGCAGCCGCGGUAAUACGUAGGGUGCAAGCGUUAAUCGGAAUUACUGGGCGUAAAGCGUGCGCAGGCGGUUUUGUAAGUCAGAUGUGAAUCCACCGGCCAAGCCUU
rnacentral:rRNA from 1 species